GACGAACGCUGGCGGCGUGCCUAAUACAUGCAAGUCGAGCGGACGGAUGGGAGCUUGCUCCCAGACCGUCAGCGGCGGACGGGUGAGUAACACGUGGGCAACCUGCCUGUAAGACUGGGAUAACUCCGAGAAACCGGGGCUAAUACCGGAUAACUCUUUCCCUCACAUGAGGGAAAGCUGAAAGAUGGCAUCUCGCUAUCACUUACAGAUGGGCCCGCGGCGCAUUAGCUAGUUGGUGAGGUAACGGCUCACCAAGGCGACGAUGCGUAGCCGACCUGAGAGGGUGAUCGGCCACACUGGGACUGAGACACGGCCCAGACUCCUACGGGAGGCAGCAGUAGGGAAUCUUCCGCAAUGGACGAAAGUCUGACGGAGCAACGCCGCGUGAGUGAUGAAGGUUUUCGGAUCGUAAAACUCUGUUGUCAGGGAAGAACAAGUACCGGAGUAACUGCCGGUACCUUGACGGUACCUGACCAGAAAGCCACGGCUAACUACGUG
rnacentral:rRNA from 1 species